ACGCAAGCUCCGCCUCCCGGGUUCACGCCAUUCUCCUGCUUCAGCCUCCCGAGUAGCUGGGACUACAGGCGCCUGCCACGACGCCCGACUAAGUUUUUGUAUUUUUAGUAGAGACGGGGUUUCACCGUGUUAGCCAGGAUGGCCUGGAUCUCCUGACCUCGUGAUACGCCCGCGUUGGCCUCCCAGAGUGCUGGAUUCCAGGCGUGAGCCACCGCGCCCGGCCCCUCUUUCUCCAUCUUUAAAGACAGCAGGACAUAGAGAACAACCACGGCUGUGCCCGGUUCUUCAGGUGGCUGCCAGUCCCCCCGUGCCUGCUCCCUGUCCCUGCCUGCCUUCCCGCUGAUGAUGACUGACGUUCUGGGACGGAGGAGCAGGUUAGGCCUAGGUACAGUGGUGUGCUGGUACAUUUGUAACAAAAGGCUCUCCAGGGGAAGAAAAGCCCUGAUUUUCAGUGUUUGCCAAUUUCCACGGUAUUAAAAGUACUCACACCAAGGCCAGUUUUAAGCAGUGCUCCUGAAGUCCCUGAAGACAGAGUUGAAAAGCAUCGUGCACAGUUGACUCUUCUAAGCUAGUCCGAGCUGGCUCCAACACACUACUGCCUAUGGCUGGACACAGAUCAGCAUUCUCAUGUUAUGAAUGAUUUAGCUUCGGAUUACUCUUCUGCAAAUGGAGGGAGGAGGCAAACCUCAAACUAAAGGCAGGGUUGGAAUAUAAAAGUCUCAGCUCCUCAAGAGUCCAGAAAAACCUCCUCCCAAGAGUGCUGCGGCCUCUUGGCGCCUCUCCAGGCCCAGCCUGCCUGCAGGACUUGCUUGCUCCAUCUUGCCGGUUCUCAACGGAGAACUCUUUGUUUUGGACCCUGUUCUUGUAUUCUGCUCAGUGGACUUGAAAAUUGGAAGUUUCCUUGCUUCCUGGUCCUUCCUGUGCCUGGGAAACAGACUUGGAAUUCUUCUUUUCUUCUCUUCAUUCAGCAAAAAGACAACCCCACCAGUUACCAUUCCUUGUAUUCGUUCUUGGAACCCAGCCUGGGCCAACAGUUAGGCCCCCUGAGAAAAGAAGCCUAACUUCCUUUGCCUAGUCCUUCCCUCAAUAGAUUAAGAAAUGAAGAGAAAAAAACCUUCUUAACAUAUACUACAUAAUACUAAUAUUUACUUUAAAAAAAAAUAAAGGCUUAACCCCUGCA